GGGUGGAACUUCUUUUAUCGCACUGGAGAAAAUGCUUCACUUGAUCGACGUCCAUGAGUUUUUUUACUGUUAUGGCUCAGUAUCAUGGAUUCGCUUGGGUGUUACCAAACUAGGGACCAAGCUUACAAAAAUGCCGCUCAAGUCACCUCAUGCAGCUUGCCAUUUGAUCCGUAUGGUUUGUAAACUUAUUAAAGAAGAACAAAGUACUGGUGAAGAGGUGACGUCGCUAAUGGAUUACCUUUGAAUCGUGUCUUCGCCACAAGUCUGAAAUGGUGAUCUACGAGGCUGCUCACGCGAUUGCAAACCUUCGUCGAACUGGAUCUCGUGAAUUGGCUCCUGCUAUCGCCGUGUUGCAGCUCUUCUGCUCCUCACCUAAGCCUGCCUUACGCUUUGCUGCCGUUCGGACCCUAUUAUGAAAUGUGGCAAUGACGCACCCCGCUGCUGUGACUGCUUGAAAUUUAUAUUUGGAGUAUUUUUUUACGGAUUCUAAUCGUUCAAUUGCCACUCUCGCUAUCACAACUCUGUUGAAGACUGGAGGAGAAGCCUCGGUUGAUCAGCUCAUGAAGCAGAUUGCCUCUUUUCUCUCAGAAAUCUCGGAUGAA